GUCUCCCUGUGGGAUCCGAAGAGUGACCUGGUUACCGAAGACCCUGGAAGCAGUCAGAAGUGUCUACACACAGGAUGCGUUCAGGCACAGUGUUGAGAGUUGGUCACCCGUGUUUUGGCAGCAUUCAGAGCCCAACACACACACAGUCACUCAAGUUACAGGUGUAAAAAAGCUGGAUUACUCUGUAACCGUUAACUCACCCGACACUGCGAUACAGUCGUCCAGCGCCGGAGCC